rnacentral:misc_RNA from 1 species
CCGAGUGCGCACCCCCUCAGGUGCAACCUCCCACCCGUGUCUCUGAAUACCCUGUUGCUUUGGCGGGCCCACCGGGAAACCGGUCGCCGGGGGACGUGCAGUCCCCGGGCCCGCGCCCGCCGGAGCGCCUGAAGAACCCUUAUGAAGAUGGACUGUCUGAGUGUCAUUGAUAAUAAUCA